GACGGAGGAUGCAAGUGUUAUCCGGAAUUAUUGGGCGUAAAGCGUCUGUAGGUUGCCUAACAAGUCUGUUGUUAAAGGUUAAAGCUUAACUUUAAAACUGCAGCAGAAACUGCUAGGCUUGAGUACAAUCGAAGUAGAGGGAAUUUCCAGUGAAGCGGUGAAAUGCGUAGAUAUUGGAAGGAACACCAAUGGCGAAGGCACUCUACUAGACUUUUACUGACACUCAGAGACGAAAGCUAGGGUAGCAAAUGGGAUUAGAUACCCCUGUAGUCCUAGCCGUAAACGAUGGAUACUAGAUGUUGCAUGUAUACAGUAUCCUAGCUAACGCGUUAAGUAUCCCGCCUGGGGAGUACGCUCGCAAGGGUG
rnacentral:rRNA from 1 species